rnacentral:rRNA from 1 species
UCCAGACUCCUACGGGAGGCAGCAGUGGGGAAUAUUGGGCAAUGGAGGAAACUCUUACCCAGCAAUGCCGCGUGAAUGAAGAAGGUCUUCGGAUUGUAAAGUUCUUUAAUUGGGGACGAAAAAAAUGACGGUACCCAAGGAAUAAGCCCCGGCUAACUACGUGCCAGCAGCCGCGGUAAUACGUAGGUGGCAAGCGUUGUCCGGAUUUACUGGGUGUAAAGGGCGUGCAGCCGGGAAGACAAGUCAGAUGUGAAAUCCCGCGGCUCAACCGCGGAACUGCAUUUGAAACUGUUUUUCUUGAGUACCGGAGAGGUCAUCGGAAUUCCUUGUGUAGCGGUGAAAUGCGUAGAUAUAAGGAAGAACACCAGUGGCGAAGGCGGAUGACUGGACGGCAACUGACGGUGAGGCGCGAAAGCGUGGGGAGCAAACAGGAUUAGAUACCCCUGUA